ACUAACUAGGAUUCCCUGAGUAGCGGCGAGCGAAACGGGAAAAGCCCAGCACUUAGCCCAUUGGCUCAUAAACGGCCAAUUGGGGAUGCAGUGUAUGGAGUGUCCAUUAACUCAUUACAAUAGAUGAUGUACGUUCAAGUCCAUCUUGAAUGGGGCCAUUUUACCCAUAGAGGGUGCCAGGCCCGUGGAACUACCAUCUGUAAUUUGUGGACUACUCUUAAGAGUCGUGUUGCUUGAUAGUGCAGCACUAAGUGGGUGGUAAACUCCAUCUAAGGCUAAAUAUUACC
rnacentral:rRNA from 1 species